AUAGGAAAUUUAAGGGCGUAUGGUGGAUGCCUUGACUCAAAGAGGCGAUGAAGGACGCGGUAUAGCUGCGAUAAGCUUCGGGGAGGCGCCGAACAGCCUUUGAUCCGGAGAUUUCCGAAUGGGGAUGAACCCUGUCCGCUAAAAGCGGACAAUCUCUCGAGCAAUCGAGAGAAGCGAACCCUGGGAAGUGAAACAUCUCAGUACCAGGUGGAAAAUAGAACAAUAGUUAUUCCCUAAGUAGUGGCGAGCGAAAAGGGAAGAGCCCAAACCAACGUGCUUCGCACGCAGUUUGAAAGUCCAUAAAGUCAAAAGUCCAUAAAGCGAAUUGAAUUUUACUUUACAGACUUUACAGACUUUUAACUUUUGACUUGCGCGCGGAGCGCGCUGGGGUUGUAAGAGACAGCAAUGGUUUACCAAGGAAGUUUUAAAAAUCGGAGUUGUUAAUUGAAUCAGCUGGAAAGCUGAACCACAGAAGGUAAUAGUCCUGUAAGUGAAAACAAUCUCCAUACUUUCAGCUGUCAUCUUGAGUAAUUCGGGACACGAAUGGCCCGGGUGAAUCAUCCAGAACUAACUGGAAAGGCUAAAUACUCUUUGAGAUCGAUAGUGAACAAGNNNNNNNNNNGUGAAAAGCAGCCCGGUGAGGGCGAUGAAAUAGUAUCUGAAACCAUAUGUCUACAAGGAGUCGGAGUCCCGACGCAAGUCGCGGACGACGGCGUGCCUAUUGAAGAAUGAGCCAACGAGUUAAUUUAUGUUGCUUGCUUAAGCCGAUGAAUCGGCGGAGGCGCAGCGAAAGCGAGUCUUAAAAGGCGCCGUAGCAUAAAUUAGACCCGAAACCAGGUGAACUUACCAUGGAUAGGAUGAAUCCGCCGUAAAUGGCGGAGGAGGUCCGAACCCUUUAGCCGUGCAAAACUAUGGGAUAAUCUGUGGUAUGGAGUGAAAAGCUCAUCGAACCUGGUAAUAGCUGGUUCUCUCCGAAAUAGCUUUAGGGCUAGCGUCCGUUUUACCUUCCGGGGGUAGAGCACUGGAUGGUCUGCACAGGGAGCAAUCUCGGCAGACCAAUCAAACUCCGAAUACCGGAAGUCAUUAACGGGCAGUCAGACCGUGGGGGCUAAGCUUCACUGGUCAAAAGGGGAACAGCCCGAAUCUCAAUCUAAGGUCCCUAAAUCUCUGCUAAGUGUACUUAAGGAAGUGAAAUUUCUAUGACAGCGAGGAGGUUGGCUUAGAAGCAGCCAUCCUUUAAAGAGUGCGUAACAGCUCACUCGCUAAGAGGUUUUGCGCCGCAAAUAAUCGGGACUCAAGCAGAGUACCGAAGGUGAGGAUGUCUUGACGCAAGUCAAGGCGUGGUAGGAGAGUAUUCGCAACCGCUGUGAAGCUCACGGGGCGACCCGGAGUGGAGCGUUGCGAAGUAAGAAUGUUGGCACAAGUAACCGCAAUCUCUGUUAAAUUCAGAGACGCCGAAAACCUAAGGUUUCCUUGACAAUGUUGAUCAUUCAAGGGUUAGUCGGGCCUAAGCCGAUGGCGAAAGCCGCAGGCGAUGGACAAACGGUUAAUAUUCCGUUACCUUCUUAUUUUUUCGAUGGAGCGACGGAGGUCAGUAUGUUGAGCGCAUUAUUGGAUUUGCGUUAUUGGCGUGAGGAAUAUCGGCAGGCAAAUCCGCCGGUAUCUUUAAAUAGAGAUUCCAAGCGUUGAUAAAAUGUUCCGCUUUCGGGCGGGAUGAAUUCAACAAAGCGGCCUUCCAAGAAAAACUUCUAGAGUUAAGAAUAAGGAGUCCGUACCGAAAACCGACACAGGUGGGUAAGUCGAGUAGACUAAGGCGAACGAGUGAGAGUUUCCCAAGGAACUAGGCAAAAAAGCGACCGUAACUUCGGGAUAAGGUCUGCCCCGCAUCAAUGCGCAAGCUUUGGGCGCGGGGCCGCAGCGAAAGUUCCUCUGGCGACUGUUUAUCUAAAACACAGCUCCCUGCUAACUCGUAAGAGGAUGUAUAGGGGGCGACGCUUGACCAAUGCGAGAAGGUCAAAAGGCGCUGGUCUUAUGCCGCAAGGCGUAAGGCUGCCGUGCCUUAAGCCCUCGUGAAUGUCGGCCGUAACUAUAACGGUCCUAAGGUUACGCCACUGAUUUUAUGUUUUGUCAAAUCGGUGGCGUAAGGACUGGGACUGUUUGGUUGUCGAAAAUAAAACAAUGCUGCCUAUUUCGCGUAAAGCGAAAUGUCCUAAUAAACAUCUGACUAUAUGCUGAGAAAUCUGUGCAUAAAAAGCUGUAGAAUCGAGAGCUACUCGUGAUAUAAUAACGACAAGUAUUAAAUAACACUUGUCUAAAUCUCAUGAGUAAAAAAGCGCCUCGUGCAGAAAAUCAGCAGGAAAGAUUGAUAACGACCUGAAAUUGCGAAAGGCAAUCAUCUUACAAGAAUUGGAGCCAUUAAAAUAGCUCGCAUGACUGAAAAGA
rnacentral:rRNA from 1 species